GGGCAAAUGAGAGAAAGAUAAUUAUCUGGAAAAGAGUGACAGGAACAAAGGAACCACUUAAAUGCCA
ensembl:snoRNA SNORD42 Small nucleolar RNA SNORD42